ACAGUUACCAUAUUUAUUGACAGGUUUGACUGUUCAUACAACAUUUUACAGAAGCGCAUUGAAAAAUGUUACCAGUAUUUGUUACCAACUUCUGCAAGUACCUGUUAGCAGUGAAGAAACAUCCAAUACCUUCAAAAAGCGGGGAGACCCCAGCGUGAGGUGACACGUUCCGGACGCAUGCACUGAUAAACCCAGAACAACCGCCAGCUUUCCACACAAGCAUCAACGCAGACUCACACACUCUACACAGACUCAGAGCACUGUGUGCAGCCGGGGCUGGAUGGGCGCUCUGUGGACCCCUCCCUUUCCUCGCCCCAGAGCCUCCUAUAGCCAAGACAUCAAAGUAAUCAACCUCACCUGACCGGCCACACCUCUCGGCUGAACGGGACCAGCACCAUUUUAUUUUAGCCUUGAAAACAACAUUCUGUACUUGACUUAUAAUGGGGCUAAUUCCGAGAUCAAGGUUAAUUGCGGCAAAUUACAUGUCCUUUGAUUAGCAAGGCUCUGCCUAUUUUAGAGAUUAAAAUUGAACAAAGUUUAUAAUUUGAAAAGAUAAUAUCAAAGUCUAUCCCAUAAAACAAGAACGCUUCUGAUCUAAAAAUAGACAUGUAGAUAUAAGUGAAUAUCACAUGAUUGUGAUGAUGCAUUAUCAGUGCAUUCUACUGAUAAGACUCGACAUUUACUGUGUCAAGCUAUUUAUCAUUAUUCUAGAUAAAGUGUUUAUAAUGCUUUAGAUAUCUAAUUUUCAUAUGAUUAACUGUUAUUAUUGAAUGUAUAAUUUUUUUUUAUUAUUAAAUGUUUUGC
ensembl:lncRNA